UAAUAGAUGUUGGCAACAGUUGGUCCACUGUAGGAGUAGAGUGCACAUCGAGAUGGAAUCUAUCGACCUUGAUAGAGAGGAGUAGUUCUAUGAAAUUUGAGAGGCUAAGUCCGAGAGUCUAUGGCCACAGCAGUGUAAUAGAUGGAAAAAAAUUUUCAUGAGGAUCACAACUGGACUUGAGUUAAUCAAAUCUAUCAUAUAACUGAUGAUGAGAUUUGAUAAUUUAUCCAUGACCUAUCAUCUAAUCGUGACUCACGAUAGAGGGACUGAAUCAC
rnacentral:lncRNA from 1 species